CUACAAAGUCAAAAUGGGCACUUAUUUCUGCAUGCCAGUGAGAACGUUUCAAACAGGCCUGAUAUCAGCCUGUUUUGUUUGCUUUCCGAGUUGCUGAUACGCACCUUUUCCACCCUGAAAGUCCUGGCAUGCAGUGUGACUUAAUUACAUGAGGUCAGCAUAAUAGAAACGGAAGAGGUAGAAGGUGGAGUCCUCUGAAUACACAACUGCCCUGCUGGUUCCUGAGAAGUCCAAGGCCCUCAGUGAAAUAAAAUGGGUGGAUUCAACACAUCUCAGAGCAGGCAGCACAGACACACUGCACUACUUGGAUUAGUGUAAAGCUAGCCAUCUCUCCAAAUGAGAAAGAAUUAAAUGCCCA